UAGGGAAUCUUCCACAAUGGACGCAAGUCUGAUGGAGCAACGCCGCGUGAGUGAAGAAGGUUUUCGGACCGUAAAGCUCUGUUGUUGGUGAAGAAGGAUAGAGGUAGUAACUGGCCUUUAUUUGACGGUAAUCAACCAGAAAGUCACGGCUAACUACGUGCCAGCAGCCGCGGUAAUACGUAGGUGGCAAGCGUUGUCCGGAUUUAUUGGGCGUAAAGCGGGCGCAGGCGGAAGAAUAAGUCUGAUGUGAAGGCCCUCGGCUUAACCGAGGAAUUGCAUCGGAAACUGUUUUCUUGAGUGCAGAAGAGGAGAGUAGAACUCCAUGUGUAGCGGUGGAAUGCGUAGAUAUAUGGAAGAAUACCAGUGGCGAAGGCGGCUCUCUGGUCUGCAACUGACGCUGAGGCUCGAAAGCAUGGGUAGCGAACAGGAUUAGAUACCCUGGUAGUCCAUGCCGUAAACGAUGAGUGCUAAGUGUUGGGAGGCUUCCGCCUCUCAGUGCUGCAGCUAACGCAUUAAGCACUCCGCCUGGGGGAGUACGACCGCAAGGUUGAAAC
rnacentral:rRNA from 1 species